GAUUUNAACUNAANAAGUCAUCAANAANAAAGUUGUAUAACUCAUCAAUAUCUAUAACUUUUAUUUUGGUAAUUUCUUCAUCCAAUGAAGUGAUAGUAAUAUUGUUCACAAAAUUUAUAUAUCUCUUACAUGGUUUUAUAAACUAUAAGAGAUAUAUACAAAUUUUGUGAACAAUAUUACUAUCAUUUUGUCGGAUGAAGAAAUGACCAAAAUAAAAGUUAUAGAUAUUGAUGAGUUAUACAACUUUGUUGUUGAUAACUUUUUCAGUUGAAAUC
rfam:Oryza barthii chromosome 8, whole genome shotgun sequence.